GGGUUGUGAGGUUAAGCGACUAAGCGUACACGGUGGAUGCCCUGGCAGUCAGAGGCGAUGAAGGACGUGCUAAUCUGCGAAAAGCGUCGGUAAGGUGAUAUGAACCGUUAUAACCGGCGAUGUCCGAAUGGGGAAACCCAGUGCAAUUCGUUGCACUAUCGUUAACUGAAUACAUAGGUUAACGAGGCGAACCGGGGGAACUGAAACAUCUAAGUACCCCGAGGAAAAGAAAUCAACCGAGAUUCCCCCAGUAGCGGCGAGCGAACGGGGAGCAGCCCAGAGUCUGAAUCAGCUUGUGUGUUAGUGGAACGGUCUGGAAAGUCCGACGGUACAGGGUGAUAGUCCCGUACACCAAAAUGCACAGGCUGUGAACUCGAAGAGUAGGGCGGGACACGUGGUAUCCUGUCUGAAUAUGGGGGGACCAUCCUCCAAGGCUAAAUACUCCUGACUGACCGAUAGUGAACCAGUACCGUGAGGGAAAGGCGAAAAGAACCCCGGCGAGGGGAGUGAAAAAGAACCUGAAACCGUGUACGUACAAGCAGUGGGAGCACCUUCGGGUGUGACUGCGUACCUUUUGUAUAAUGGGUCAGCGACUUAUAUUCUGUAGCAAGGUUAACCGUAUAGGGGAGCCGCAGGGAAACCGAGUCUUAACUGGGCGUUAAGUUGCAGGGUAUAGACCCGAAACCCGGUGAUCUAGCCAUGGGCAGGUUGAAGGUUGGGUAACACUAACUGGAGGACCGAACCGACUAAUGUUGAAAAAUUAGCGGAUGACUUGUGGCUGGGGGUGAAAGGCCAAUCAAACCGGGAGAUAGCUGGUUCUCCCCGAAAGCUAUUUAGGUAGCGCCUCGUGAAUUCAUCUUCGGGGGUAGAGCACUGUUUCGGCUAGGGGGUCAUCCCGACUUACCAACCCGAUGCAAACUACGAAUACCGAAGAAUGUUAUCACGGGAGACACACGGCGGGUGCUAACGUCCGUCGUGAAGAGGGAAACAACCCAGACCGCCAGCUAAGGUCCCAAAGUCAUGGUUAAGUGGGAAACGAUGUGGGAAGGCACAGACAGCCAGGAUGUUGGCUUAGAAGCAGCCAUCAUUUAAAGAAAGCGUAAUAGCUCACUGGUCGAGUCGGCCUGCGCGGAAGAUGUAACGGGGCUAAACCAUGCACCGAAGCUGCGGCAGCGACACUAUGUGUUGUUGGGUAGGGGAGCGUUCUGUAAGCCUGCGAAGGUGACCUGUGAGGGUUGCUGGAGGUAUCAGAAGUGCGAAUGCUGACAUAAGUAACGAUAAAGCGGGUGAAAAGCCCGCUCGCCGGAAGACCAAGGGUUCCUGUCCAACGUUAAUCGGGGCAGGGUGAGUCGACCCCUAAGGCGAGGCCGAAAGGCGUAGUCGAUGGGAAACAGGUUAAUAUUCCUGUACUUGGUGUUACUGCGAAGGGGGGACGGAGAAGGCUAUGUUAGCCGGGCGACGGUUGUCCCGGUUUAAGCAUGUAGGCUGGUUGUCCAGGCAAAUCCGGAUAAUCAAGGCUGAGGUGUGAUGACGAGGCACUACGGUGCUGAAGUAACAAAUGCCCUGCUUCCAGGAAAAGCCUCUAAGCAUCAGGUAACAUUAAAUCGUACCCCAAACCGACACAGGUGGUCAGGUAGAGAAUACCAAGGCGCUUGAGAGAACUCGGGUGAAGGAACUAGGCAAAAUGGUGCCGUAACUUCGGGAGAAGGCACGCUGGUGUGUAGGUGAAGUCCCUGCGGAUGGAGCUGAGACCAGUCGAAGAUACCAGCUGGCUGCAACUGUUUAUUAAAAACACAGCACUGUGCAAACACGAAAGUGGACGUAUACGGUGUGACGCCUGCCCGGUGCCGGAAGGUUAAUUGAUGGGGUUAUCCGUAAGGAGAAGCUCUUGAUCGAAGCCCCGGUAAACGGCGGCCGUAACUAUAACGGUCCUAAGGUAGCGAAAUUCCUUGUCGGGUAAGUUCCGACCUGCACGAAUGGCGUAAUGAUGGCCAGGCUGUCUCCACCCGAGACUCAGUGAAAUUGAACUCGCUGUGAAGAUGCAGUGUACCCGCGGCAAGACGGAAAGACCCCGUGAACCUUUACUAUAGCUUGACACUGAACAUUGAGCCUUGAUGUGUAGGAUAGGUGGGAGGCUUUGAAGCGUGGACGCCAGUCUGCGUGGAGCCAACCUUGAAAUACCACCCUUUAAUGUUUGAUGUUCUAACGUUGGCCCCUUAUCGGGGUUGCGGACAGUGUCUGGUGGGUAGUUUGACUGGGGCGGUCUCCUCCCAAAGCGUAACGGAGGAGCACGAAGGUUAGCUAAUCCUGGUCGGACAUCAGGAGGUUAGUGCAAUGGCAUAAGCUAGCUUGACUGCGAGCGUGACGGCGCGAGCAGGUGCGAAAGCAGGUCAUAGUGAUCCGGUGGUUCUGAAUGGAAGGGCCAUCGCUCAACGGAUAAAAGGUACUCCGGGGAUAACAGGCUGAUACCGCCCAAGAGUUCAUAUCGACGGCGGUGUUUGGCACCUCGAUGUCGGCUCAUCACAUCCUGGGGCUGAAGUAGGUCCCAAGGGUAUGGCUGUUCGCCAUUUAAAGUGGUACGCGAGCUGGGUUUAGAACGUCGUGAGACAGUUCGGUCCCUAUCUGCCGUGGGCGCUGGAGAAUUGAGGGGGGCUGCUCCUAGUACGAGAGGACCGGAGUGGACGCAUCACUGGUGUUCGGGUUGUCAUGCCAAUGGCACUGCCCGGUAGCUAAAUGCGGAAGAGAUAAGUGCUGAAAGCAUCUAAGCACGAAACUUGCCCCGAGAUGAGUUCUCCCUGAGACUUUAAGUCUCCUGAAGGAACGUUGAAGACGACGACGUUGAUAGGCCGGGUGUGUAAGCGCAGCGAUGCGUUGAGCUAACCGGUACUAAUGAACCGUGAGGCUUAAUCUUACAACGCCGAAG
rnacentral:rRNA from 1 species